GACGUAGGGCGCGAGCGUUGUCCGGAUUUAUUGGGCGUAAAGAGCUCGUAGGCGGCUUGUCGCGUCGUCCGUGAAAACCUGCGGCUCAACUGCAGGCUGGCGGUCGAUACGGGCAGGCUGGAGUUCGGUAGGGGAGACUGGAAUUCCUGGUGUAGCGGUGAAAUGCGCAGAUAUCGUAAGGAAGACCAGUGGCGAAGGCGGGUCUCUGGAUAGUUCCUGACGCUGAGGCACGAAGGUCAGGGGAGCAAUCGGG
rnacentral:rRNA from 1 species